AUUGAACGCUGGCGGCAUGCCUUACACAUGCAAGUCGAACGGCAGCACGGGGCAACCUGGUGGCGAGUGGCGAACGGGUGAGUAAUGCAUCGGAACGUGCCAUUGAGUGGGGGAUAACGUAGCGAAAGUUGCGCUAAUACCGCAUAUUCUGUGAGCAGGAAAGCAGGGGACCGCAAGGCCUUGCGCUCUUUGAGCGGCCGAUGUCAGAUUAGCUAGUUGGUGAGGUAACGGCUUACCAAGGCGACGAUCUGUAGCGGGUCUGAGAGGAUGAUCCGCCACACUGGAACUGAGACACGGUCCAGACUCCUACGGAGGCAGCAGUGGGGAAUUUUGGACAAUGGGCGCAAGCCUGAUCCAGCCAUGCCGCGUGAGUGAAGAGGGCCU
rnacentral:rRNA from 1 species